CCUACGGGAGGCAGCAGGGAGGAAUAUUGGUCAAUGGACGAGAGUCUGAACCAGCCAAGUAGCGUGAAGGAUGACGGCCCGAUGGGUGGUAAACUUCGUUGAUAAAGGAAUAAAACGAGGCACGUAUGCCUUUUUGCAUGUACUUUAUGAAUAAGGAUCGGCUAACUCUGUGCCGGCAGCCGCGGUAAUACGGAGGGUCCGAUCGUUAUCCGGAUUUAUUGGGUUUAAAGGGCGCGUAGACGGGUUGUUUAGGAGGUUGUGAAAUCUUGCGGCUCAACCGUAAAAUUGCACUUGAUACUGGCAGUCUUGAGUACAGUUGAGGUAGGCUGAAUUCGUGGUGUAGCGGUUAAAUGCUUAGAUAUCACGCAGAACCCCGAUUGCGAAGGCAGCUUACUAAACUGUGACUGACAUUGAUGCUCGAAAGUGUGGGUAUCAAACAGGAUUAGAUACCCUUGUAGUC
rnacentral:rRNA from 1 species